AAAUACAGAUGGCUGGAAUGCUUCUGUAUUCAAAGCUCCGGCGCCUGAGGAUGAGUUUGCGGCCUAUCAGGUUGUAGUCAGGGUCAAGACCUGACUAGCCAGCGACGGGUAUGGGGUGUGAGAGCACUUGCCCAGAGAUGGUUUCUGAGACACGAAACCAGGCCCUACGGGGCGCAGCAGGCGCGAAAACUUCGCAAUGCGGGAAACCGUGACGAGGGAACUCCGAGUGUCUAUGCAUUGCAUAGACUGUUUUUUAGCCUAAAUAGCUAUUAGAGUAAGGGGUGGGCAAGACCGGUGCCAGCCGCCGCGGUAACACCGGCACCCCGAGUGGUAGCCACUAUUAUUGGGCCUAAAGCGUUCGUAGCCGGUUUGGUAAAUUCUUGGGUAAAUCGUACCGCUCAACGGUGCGGAUUCCGGGGACACUACCAGACUUGAGACCGGGGGAGAUCAGAGGUACUUGCGGGGGAGCGGUGAAAUGUUGUAAUCCCGCAGGGACCACCAGUGGCGAAGGCGUCUGAUCAGAACGGCUCUGACGGUGAGGAACGAAACCCUGGGGCGCAAACGGGAUUAGAUACCCCGGUAGUCCAGGGCGUAAACGCUGCUGACUUGGUGUUGGGGAUCCUACGAGGAUGUCCAGUGCUGGCGCGAAGGUAUUAAGUCAGCCGCCUGGGGAGUACGGUCGCAAGACUGAAACUUAAAGGAAUUGGCGGGGGAGCACUGCAACGUGUGGAGCGUGCGGUUUAAUUGGACUCAACGCCGGGA
rnacentral:rRNA from 1 species